GCCCUGCUUUCGCGACGCAGCUGAGGGGCGGGGCCGCGGAGGGAGGCGGGAAGCCAGAAGAGUUUCGGAGAGACUAGAGACCCAUCUCCUAUUAUAGUGGAAGGGAAGGAGGAAACAAGAUGGCUAUGGAAGCAGGUAGUGCUCAGGUACCCAGGUGUAACACGUUUUAUUUUCCAAAGAUGGCGAUGACAGUAUCUCCCAUCUUAUAUUUUCUUCUUACGAUGUGAUCAUGAUAUUCCUCCCAUUAAGAGAUGGGGUGUAUGUCCCUCCAUUUGAAUCAUGGCAGACUGAUCUGGCAUGUCAUUGUGUGUCUUCUGAGGCUAGGUCCUAAAAGGCAAUAUAACCUCUGCCUGGUUCUCUAGGAACAUUUGCUUUUGGAACUCAGCAGCCAUGCUGUGAGGAAGCCCAAACUACCCUAAGUAGUAGUGAGACCACAUGGAGAGAACAUGUAUAGCUAUUCCAGACCACAGCCCAGCUGAAACCAAAGCCAGUUACCAGGAAAACCCACCAAACACGUGAAUGAAGAGAAUUCCAGUUGAUUUCGACCCCAGCUGUUGCGUCAUCUCCAGCCUUUGAGGCUUUCCAGCUGAGGCCCCAGACCUCAUGGAGCUGUCUCCUCUGUACUCUUUUUGAAUUCCUGACCCACAGAA